rnacentral:rRNA from 1 species
UCAGAUGUGAAAUCCCCGGGCUUAACCUGGGAACUGCAUUUGAAACUGGUCAACUAGAGUAUGGUAGAGGAAAGUGGAAUUUCUGGUGUAGCGGUGAAAUGCGUAGAUAUCAGAAGGAACAUCAAUGGCGAAGGCAACUUUCUGGACCAAUACUGACGCUGAGGUACGAAAGCGUGGGUAGCAAACAGGAUUAGAUACCCUGGUAGUCCACGCCGUAAACGAUGAUAACUAGCCGUUGGGGGGAUUUACCCUUUAGUGGCGAAGCUAACGCGUUAAGUUAUCCGCCUGGGGAGUACGGCCGCAAGGUUAAAACUCAAAGGAAUUGACGG